rnacentral:snRNA from 1 species
GUGCUUGCUUUGGCAGCACCUAUACUAAAAUUGGAACAAUACAGAGAAGAUUAGCAUGGCCCUUGUGCAAGGAUGAUGCACAAAUUCAUGAAGUGUUCCAUAUUAAA